rnacentral:lncRNA from 1 species
GACGGGCUCCGGGCCCUGAUAGAUGGGGUGCGGGGACGGAGACAAAUGACGGCCUUUGGGCUCGGAAUACCCACCUUUCUGGUAAUGCAGCCCAGCGGGUCCCAGCCUCGUUUUCCAGCCCUCACUCAAAAUGGAGUCGCUCUGGUUCGAACGCCUCUGACAAGUGUGUACCUACGUGUCAGGGUUGGAGUGCCAUGGUGUGGUCAUAGCCCACUGAAGCCUCAAACCUCUGGGCUGAAGCCAUCCUUCCGCCUCAGCCUCCCAAGUAGCUGGGACCAUAGGUGCAUGGCACUGUGCCUGGCACUGUCUGAAUGCAUACAGCUGCGUAGCAUCGUGGUAAGAACACCCGCCCUGACAUCACACAGACCUGCAUCCACGUCCCAGCUGAGCCUCAGUUCUCACAUCUGCAAAAUGGGGAGAACAACAGCAGCAGCGUCCUGAGGCUGGGGUGAGGACCGAGUGAAAAACCUUUGUCGCAUCUUUGGGCAUCGCAGGAGUUCAAUAAAUGUUAGCUAUCGU